rnacentral:rRNA from 1 species
UUCGCACUGCUGACAGAAGGAGGGACAUU